rnacentral:rRNA from 1 species
UACAGAGGGUGCAAGCGUUAAUCGGAAUUGCUGGGCGCAAAGCGUGCGCAGGUGGUUUUGUAAGCCAGAUGUGAGAUCCCCGGGCUCAACCUGGGAAUGGCAUUUGGGACUGCAAGGCUAGAGUGUGGCAGAGGGGGGUGGAAUUCCGCGUGUAGCAGUGAAAUGCGUAGAGAUGCGGAGGAACACCGAUGGCGAAGGCAAUCCCCUGGGCCUGUACUGACGCUCAUGCACGAAAGCGUGGGGAGCAAACAGG